GUACACAUAGCUUAAUGGUAGAGCACCUGCUUUGAAUGCAAAAGGUCCCAGGUUAAAUCCUCGGCGUCUCCA